rnacentral:rRNA from 1 species
UGCCAGCCGCCGCGGUAAUAUGAGGGGUCCAUGCGUUAAUCGGAAUCACUGGGCUUAAAGGGUACGUAGGCGGCCCUGUAAGCAUCUCGUGAAAUCCCACGGCUCAACCGUGGAAUUGCGGGGUGAACUACAGGGCUUGAGGCAGGUAGAGGUUGUCGGAACGAUCGGUGGAGCGGUGAAAUGCGUUGAUAUCGAUCGGAACGCCAGUGGCGAAGGCGGCUUACUGGGUCUCUUCUGACGCUGAGGGACGAAAGCGUGGGUAGCAAACCGGAUUAGAUA